rnacentral:rRNA from 1 species
UACGUAGGGUCCGAGCGUUGUCCGGAGUUACUGGGCGUAAAGCGCGCGCAGGUGGCGUCGCAAGUCUGGCGUGAAAGCCCCCGGCUCAACCGGGGAGGGUCGUCGGAUACUGCGGUGCUUGAGGGAGGCAGGGGUCGGUGGAAUGCCCGGUGUAGUGGUGAAAUGCGUAGAGAUCGGGCGGAACACCCGUGGCGAAGGCGGCCGACUGGGCCUAACCUGACACUGAGGCGCGAAGGCGUGGGGAGCGAACGGG